rnacentral:lncRNA from 1 species
CUCUCUCUAGUUCAAUCUCUCUCUGUAAACUCAUUCUCUCUGAAACUCACUCUCUGUUGCGCCCUCUCUUUUGUAUUGCUCCUACAUGUAACAUUUGUCCGAUUGUCCUACGGUCACCGACAGUCCAGGAGCGAUAACUUUGAGGAUAAUCAGGCGUAGCUGUUCCUUUCCACAUCACUGCAGCCGUUUCAGCCCACAGACCUUGACUCUGGUGAGAGAAACAGAGGCAGACCAAGAUGGAAAAAUCCUACACAUCUCACAGUACCAUCUAGCCCAUUGAAGAUCAUUGAUCGGAAAGGGAAGUGUGGUGGAGUUCGGUCAGGAAGUUUACCCUGGCAUCAUGCAAGACGUUCACGCAGAGAGUGGUGCUAGUGUGAAAACCAUGAGUCGCGUUGGUCCCAACCAUUUUUUUGGGGGGGGUGAGAGAGAGACGACAUCAUAUGGUACAGACCACAGCAUGUGCUUGGACUUGUCCCUGAGCCCCAUCCAGUGACCAAACGGCACAUGGAGCUGGAUGCCUUGGUCUGGGAGGAACUUAGCUCUCUUUCUAAGCCUUGGAAACUCAUUGUACAGUACAUACAAAGCAGAACUUACAAUGAUACAUUAAAUAAAAUGUGAAGCUUCAAUUAAUUCAUCCCUCAAUAUAUAGGUGUUAGAUGUUCUAGUUGUUGCAUCUAAGUGUAGUCAAGGACAAAACAUUGUUCUCAUGUUGAAACGGUGCAAGUUCCAGUGUUGUGGAAUCUUACUUUGUCUUAUAUUAAUGAAAUGUUUAACAAUGCUUGUUGUUCAAAAUGUGUCACGUUGGUGUAGAGGAUUGGGAGACAGGCGCAGCAAUGCGUAAUAUUUAUUUUUUAUUAUACACAAAUUACAGUGUGCCGUGUAAAGGCACGGGGACGAAGACCAAACAAACACGUAUACAAAACACAGGGUUAAAAGCCAAACAAAAGAGCGAGCAGUACCUUGAAUAAAUACACCGGGGCGAGACCCGUAACACAAUGAUGGAUGAAAACCGUAAUCAUCUGCACCCUACAAG